rnacentral:rRNA from 1 species
UGGGGAAUAUUGCACAAUGGGCGCAAGCCUGAUCCAGCCAUGCCGCGUGUGUGAAGAAGGUCUUCGGAUUGUAAAGCACUUUAAGUUGGGAGGAAGGGCAUUAACCUAAUACGUUAGUGUUUUGACGUUACCGACAGAAUAAGCACCGGCUAACUCUGUGCCAGCAGCCGCGGUAAUACAGAGGGUGCAAGCGUUAAUCGGAAUUACUGGGCGUAAAGCGCGCGUAGGUGGUUUGUUAAGUUGGAUGUGAAAUCCCCGGGCUCAACCUGGGAACUGCAUUCAAAACUGACUGACUAGAGUAUGGUAGAGGGUGGUGGAAUUUCCUGUGUAGCGGUGAAAUGCGUAGAUAUAGGAAGGAACACCAGUGGCGAAGGCGACCACCUGGACUGAUACUGACACUGAGGUGCGAAAGCGUGGGGAGCAAACA